rnacentral:rRNA from 1 species
UACGGAGGGGGCUAGCGUUGUUCGGAAUUACUGGGCGUAAAGCGCACGUAGGCGGCUUUGUAAGUUAGAGGUGAAAGCCCGGGGCUCAACCCCGGAACUGCCUUUAAGACUGCAUCGCUUGAAUCCAGGAGAGGUGAGUGGAAUUCCGAGUGUAGAGGUGAAAUUCGUAGAUAUUCGGAAGAACACCAGUGGCGAAGGCGACAUACUGGGUCAUGACUGACGCUGAGGCUCGAAAGCGUGGGGAGCAAACAGG